UAGUCCUCUGAUUGGUUGCGCUGAAUAUGCGCAAGAGAUUGACUUACUGUGGAGGUUUACGGUCAAGCAUGAUUACAAAUUCAUUUUCCGGGCGUGCUUUUUCAAAGAAGAACUCGACUUGCAAAAUAGUUGCUUUCUGGCCUGUUUCAACCCGGAAAAGUAUUUUUUUGCCGCACUUUCAGAGUAACAUGUACGAGCAAGACAGCUAGCUUGCACAGACAAGGAAGUCUCCUAUGUCUGUUAGCAUCGCCGCUGAUGUUUACACUACAACCUCUGUAGAGGUUUGAAGGUGAUGGAUCGGAAGAUAAAGGGUCAUUCAUCUUUUACAAGACGGAGUGAGUUUCACGUCAUCGUGGUGCUUUUCAACGUUUAACGCGUGCCGGCAAAAGCAUGGAGUGCACAGCACAGCUGUAUUGAUCGGCACGCACACACAUCGAGAUGGACGCUAUGUUACAAUAGAAACACCCACACGCCGUCCUCGCGGACACAAACAAAAAUGGGAGCAGAUGGAGCCUUUGACAGCGUUUGAGGAGGAGGAGACGGCAGGCGACAUUGCAGUGAUGUCACUCACUCGGCCCUCUUCCUGUCUGCCUUCACUAAUCGAAUCAAGUCGCUGUCGAGCUCUCGAGCCCACUCUAAUUCCAUCAGAUCCGGAUCCCCACGCUGCAGGGGAAGGUCGUGUGUCUUUGUAUAGUUUAGUGUGGGUGUGUGUAGUUCAAAACGUGCAGAUAAAACGGCAUGUGCAGUGAAAUUAACAGCCUCCCUUCACUUCUUGACAAACGACUGUACUCCUGGCAGUCCCGCCGCCGACCUUCAAGGCGACCUUGUUGGGCGGUCAACCACGACCGCGGAUCAAAAAUGUAAAAAAAGCACCUUAACCUCAACUUUCGUUUCCAAGAUUUAGCAUUAACCUGUGAAUGCAUCUAGUUUUAAGUGUAUUUUAUAAUUAAUACAGUACAGUUAGAGACAAUGUUGUUGGGGUGGGGGUUGCUGUUUAGUUGAGCAUGUCUUGUGGAGGUGUGUGAUGUGACUCACUCCCUUGGAGAGGGGUGAUGUGAUGGAGUCGGGUCCAAAGUAGCGCCGCUGGAGUUGAGCACUCCAGUUAUGAACACCCGCUCUGAAAUGGAGGCGCGUGGGCGUCGUCAAACACUCUCCUAUCUAAUUGCAUGUCCACAUGGCGGAUAGUUUUUUAAAAUUAAUUAAUUUAUUUAUUUAUUUUUAAAAUAAAGUAGUCAAACUACUACUUUUUAUUUAAGUGUGCGUAUAGAUGUAUAUAAUACUAUGAGACGUAUGUAGUGAUUGUGUGUGGAAGAUAAAGUGCAGUAGUGCUUGCAGCUGCUUUUCCCGAGGGGCCAAGAGUUUUUCGUGAUCCUUAUCCUGAUUAUGCAGCUGCAGUGUUUCAGUAAGCUUACUGAACUUGCAUACCUAAAGUGAACAAAACCAGUGUUUAUUACUUAUACAGUAAAGAGCCGCUGAUCAAUAUUUUAUAGGCUUUUUUUUUCUAAUUAUACAGUGUUUAGCCACUGAUCAAUAAUGCAUCGGCUUCUUGUACGCAUGCCUCAUUAGCUAACAUUUUUCAGCUAGUGUAGCACAGUUUUAGGAGAGAUAUUUGAUUUAGCUGCAUUUUUCUCCAUAUUUUCACCUUGCAGUCUUGGGUUCGCCCUCAGCAAUAUGCUAAGAUGUGGUUGAGAAAACGACCACGUAACAUUGCCUUAAUUUCCGCUUGCUUCAUGCUAACGCUGUAGGCGUGCUAUUGAAUAGCAUCUACAUGGUGGUGGUUUAACCCCUUAAGCCACAUCUGUCAAACACAAGGUCCAGGGGCCAGAUCUGGCCCCUCACAUCAUUUUGUGGCAUGCUUAAGGAAAUCAUGUACUUUGUUUCUUGCUCAAAUCUGUACUGAUACUGAAAAUUGGCCUCACUUUUAAUAACAUGGAGGAGGAUUUAAAAAAAAAAAAAAAAACAAAAAAAAUAACUUUUAAUAGCUCAUUCACUGCCAGCCUUCCCAGUUAACAUGGAUAUUUGACUUUGAAAACUGUCAAUGGCAGUGAAUGUGUUUCAACAGCAGUUGAACAAACGAGUUUCCUUGACUUUUGAUUUCAAAAUCAAUUAUCCAUCAAUUUUUUGCAUCUACUGUACAUAAUAAUAUAGUGAGUGGAUGGUUUACCUGUUGCAACGGCCCUCUGGGGGAAAACAUAACUACAAUGUGGCCCAUAACAAACAUUUUGUUUGACACCCCUGCUUUAAGCAAUGGUUACUUAAACACAAAAGAUGGAGCAAAACGCAGACAGAUAAUAUAACAAUACCCACAGGCAUAUAAUCUUCAUCAAUAUUACUGCAGUUUACUGAGCAAUUCUGACUUUCUCUUUCAUGUAUGUCCAAAUGUCUGUAUUAUGCUGCCCCCAGGUGGAUAAGCCGGGCACACAAACAAGAGCAAUACAAUCUCCAUUGAAUAGAAGCAAAAAAUAUGGGGGGGAAACUGUUUAAUUGCAUUACUUUCUAUUUGAUUAUGUCAUUACUCUGUUUUUUUAAUUCAAAUAUUAUAGAGUGCUAUUUUUCUUAAAAAACAUUACACAUUGCUUUUUUGGGGGGGGGGCUGGGAGAAGGUAAAGACAUUUUUAUUAAUUUUAAUGGGGGCAUGAUUUGUGAGCAUGGUCACAUAUGGAAUUAAACUCAGGACUGUAUUUAAAAUGUAAAUGAUAUGUAUGUAAAUGUCAGUGUUUUAUUUUUAUAUUUGGACCCCAGAAAGAUUAGUCUUCACCUUGCUGAAGUACAAGUCACCACUAUGCAAAUAUAUAUAAAAAGAACUUGUUUCUCAGUCAAUCAAGUUAAUUAACAUGAACAACCAGUAGAAUAAGGUGUGGACUGUGAAUGCACUAAUAUAAUGCGUAUGUGGUGUUAGUGUGAUGUUAAUGUGUGAUUGUUUGUAUUCAUGUAUGCAGCUGUCGCUUGCGCCAAGACAAAUUUCUCCUUGGGGAGACGAAUAAAAAGAAACCUUGAACCUUGACCUUUGUGCAUCCCCACAACCUUUCAUGGUCACGUCUUGUUUUUUGUUUUUUUUCUCUCCCAGCAAACAUCCCCUUUGCGCUACUUCACUAAUGAGGCCACGCAUAGCCCAGCCUCGGCAUCACCUCUACUUAGCCGCUCACUUUGCGGGCCCAAAGUGGCUGUCAAUCGCCGCAACACGACGGUGGCGGUCGCUGACGGGUCCGUCAGAGCAAUUAACGGCAAGCCGGUACGCCACCAGAGUCCAUGUUUGAUUCACGACACGAGCAAACACAGAGUACGAGAUCAGGUGUGUGUUUGUGUGUGUGUGUGUGCGCGUGUGUGUGUGUUCCACUUUUGUGCAGAGUCCCUCGGAGGGAAUUGUGUUUCAUGUUUGCAUGGCUGAGCGGUGCAUGACAGGCAGUAACCCCCGAAAGAGAGCACUGUCGGCGUGUGCUUAGCGUGAAUGCGCUUUUGUGUGUGUGUCUGUCUAUGUUCUACAUAUACAAAUUCUAUUCACAAGCACAUAUGCUCCUCAUGUUUACCUUGAUUAUAUCAAACAAACCUCGCCUGUUUACUGGAAAA